CCUACGGGAGGCAGCAGUGGGGAAUAUUGGACAAUGGGGGGAACCCUGAUCCAGCCAUGCCGCGUGUGUGAAGAAGGCCCUCGGGUUGUAAAGCACUUUCAGUGAAGAAGAACGCCUGGUGGUUAAUACCCAUCAGGAAAGACAUCACUCACAGAAGAAGCACCGGCUAACUCCGUGCCAGCAGCCGCGGUAAUACGGAGGGUGCGAGCGUUAAUCGGAAUUACUGGGCGUAAAGCGCGCGUAGGUGGCUUGAUAAGCCGGUUGUGAAAGCCCCGGGCUCAACCUGGGAACGGCAUCCGGAACUGUCAAGCUAGAGUGCAGGAGAGGAAGGUAGAAUUCCCGGUGUAGCGGUGAAAUGCGUAGAGAUCGGGAGGAAUACCAGUGGCGAAGGCGGCCUUCUGGACUGACACUGACACUGAGGUGCGAAAGCGUGGGUAGCAAACAGGAUUAGAUACCCCGGUAGUC
rnacentral:rRNA from 1 species